ACUUCAUCGGUUAGUACUACAGUCAUGGACCUCGUUUAAAACUUGUACUAUGACUAAUUAGUUUUAUUGAGAAAAUAAUAUGAGUUUGUUGCAGCUGAACACUUGGGACUACCAUACUUGAGUGCAUACCUGGAUUCACUGGACUCAAAUUUUCGCCAUGGGGCAAAUUUUGCGACAGGAGGAUCAACUAUAAGGAGGCAGAAUGAAACCAUGUUUCAGAACGGCAUAAGUCCAUUCUCCCUAGAUAUCCAGACUCUGCACUUUGACCAAUUUCAACUGCGAAGCAAUGACCUGUACAGCCAAGGUCAGUAUUCAGCAUGCAAAAUGAAUUUUGUCAUAAUUUACUACAUGAAAACGUUAAUUUUUCAUUAAUUUGUUCAUUUAUAUUUCUUAAUGAUACUUCAGCUAGAACAGAAUCCAGGAGAAGUAGGUUACCGAGGCCUAUUGACUUCUCGACGGCUCUCUACACAUUUGAUAUAGGCCAAGAUGAUAUAACUCAUGGUUUAAGAAAGCUUGGUGCUCCACAGCUACGAA
rnacentral:lncRNA from 1 species